UUGAUAACAGAACACAACCUUCAUCUGCUUGCACCAAUUCUCAUAAUUAUUGUUCUUGAGGAUCAUAAAAUUCGCUGGAAAAUGUUUGUUUGGAUGAUUCAUUGCCAUCGUGAUUUUAUUUCCACGAAUCGCUUAAACCGGAGCUCUGAUACCAGAUGUUGAAAAUCCACCACAAUCUAUGGAGAAUUUCGAUCAAUAUUGAUGAACAAGAUUG
rnacentral:lncRNA from 1 species